rnacentral:tRNA from 1 species
GGUGGCUAAGUGGUAGAGUGCUUGCCUUGUAAGCAUGAGGCCCUGGGUUCGAUUCCUCAGUACCA